rnacentral:tRNA from 1 species
GGAUUCGUGGUGCAAUGGUAGUGCGUUUGACUCUAAAUCAGAAGGUUGCGUGUUUGACUCACGUCGGGCUCA